UGAGAUGAGAAAGCGCCUACAGGAGGAGAUGACGUGAGGUGGGGGACGCGGGCACAUGUCUGCGACAGAGCAUUGCGCGGCUGGUGACCUGGGAUGUGUUGGGAUCGUCUGCUUCCAGACCUUGUGUUGACUGCAGUUCCAGAUGCCCGUCCUUCUCCCCCUGGUGACUCCUCGGUGGCUCUCAGCUCCCCACACUCUCCUGACUGCCCUCAUCGGUCGUCAGCCCCCUGAAGACGGGGGCGAUGGCCCUCGAGGCAUUGCGAGUUACAGUGGAAGCUGUUCCAAGAAAUUCUGAGAGAACGCCGAAGCCGGGCCUGGGCUGUGGUGUCAGAUACGUUUCUCACUGCCAGUCGCCUGCAAAGCGCGGAUACGGACGGCUGGCUUUGGGGGUCUUGCACACCGUGUCAAGCCCCAGGCCUCACCAGGUGGGGUGCUGGCCCCGAGCUCCGCAGGCUCACCUUCCCGCCGUGGCCGGGGCGAGGGGCGUGUGGGGCUUG